GAACCUUGUGCUUGUGAGGCAGGCAGCUGAACCACUGAGCUAAAUCCCUGGCCCUCCAUUGGCUUUUAAAAGGCAGAAAUUCUUGGGAGAGGAUCAUUUUAGGUAUUUCGAAGGAUGUUCUCCAACUUGUAAUCAUUCCCAGGAGUGGUUUGUUUUCCUUCAUCCUACUUCACACAUUAGUCAUCGAUCGAUGAGAAGCCGCGCGUAGGUUGCCUACUCCAAGGAUAGAACCAUGAGGAAGAGUGUCUGAUUCAGAGCAGGAACUGAGACCCUGGAACCACCCUGCUCAACAUGGGAACCACUAGCCUUGUGUGACUAUUUAAAUUUAAAUAAAAGUAAAAAUUCAGAGCCGG
rnacentral:lncRNA from 1 species